UCUUGUGAUGAGGGCAAUUGUAACAAAGAUUGCAGGACUGUUAGCUCUUUGGUUCUAUCUAGAUUCCUGAAAUUGCCUUCUACAAAUGGGGAUAGUCCAUAACUGCCUUAAUUAGUGUGUGGCUUUUUGAAAUGACAACCACUUACUGCAGCAAACAUUAAUUUCUCAUCCACAUUAUACAUUGGCUAUAGCUCUACUCCAUGCUUGCUCUAUUUGGAAACAAAGUCUGAAGAAAAAGCCCCCAUCUGGGACAUAUCAGUCUCAAGGCAGAGAAAAAAAAAGAGGUGGCAAAGGCAAUGAUAGCUCUUAGAGCCUCUGCUCAAAAUGUC
rnacentral:lncRNA from 1 species